rnacentral:lncRNA from 1 species
CUUGAAGAAAUUACCAGGCUAGUUGGGUUCCAUCUCUUGAGCAUCUGUCUGUUGACGGUGGGAGCUGGGCUAAAGAUCCUGAAGUUGACUGAAGCUGGAGUGGUCAUUAUGGGAUGGUGCAGGAUGGGCUAAGGACAAGAAAAGAGCCAUUGGAGAGAGAAAGAGAUGAAGUGGAAGACAGUGAGUGAGGGGCUGGCAGAAGGAUUUCCCCUCUUCAAACUAGAGGAGAACUUCCUCAGCCUCCAUGCAGCCGGCCAGAUCCUAGGGCAAAGCUCUGGCUAGAGAAGGCAAGGACAGGCAAGAAAAUGUUUUAGAAAAAGACCCUUUCCAUCUGGAAUGCUUUUUCCAACUCCCUUCACACCUUCAGGCUGGCUUCUAGUUGCACCAGGAACUCUGGGCCCACGUGUGAGGUGCGGGGGCAACACUGUCCAUCGGGAGGACCUGUGGCUGCCUCCUCAUCCCUUCCACCGAGCGCAGGAUGGCACCAUUGCUGGCUUCUGCUGCCCUCUGUUGUGGUCCUGUACCUCCUCACCUGCUCAGAUGCUCCGCGGGGACUGAUGGAGCUCUUCCUGGUCUCCAGUGGUUCUUACUGGGUAGUGCUGGACAACAGAGUACCAGGAAGGCAGGGACCUGGCCAAGCGCACAUACGCAUGAGUGGAGGAAAUUUUACAAUUUUUAGGAAGCAACAAAAGUAUAAAGU